CUGGUAACGGGAGCUAGAGGGUUGAUGAGAAGAGAAGAAGAUUGAAGAUGGACAAGAGCGGACCGCUAGUCUGAGCUCCUUAUCUUUAACUUUACGGUGGUAUUAUCUAUGUCUAGCCUAUAGGACGAGACUUAAACGAAUAUCAGUUGUCGGGCAGAUAAUUAGGACAUCAGUGACUGAGUUCUUGUACAGUUUAAUGAGUUUAAAGAAUGUGAGUAGCCUACCUCGUGACGCCUAGCCUGGGCACCAUUUUAGCUCGUAGUGCUCGAGCCAGAUGCAGUCACCAUGGUCCUCGGUGCACGGGACGUAUCCGACUUUGCUGAGUUGCUGAGACAGAGGAGGAUCUCUUUGCCGCUCGUUAAGACAAAGACAGAUGGAGAGAACGCAGUGACGCUAGCUCAAACAGGUCGACACGAGAAACGGGGAUCCACGCACGCUUCCACACACCUGACUCCCCACUCUCUUCCCUUCCAACGCCUCAAGAAUGGCGCUUAGAGCUCAUCGGCACGUGAUGGUGACCUUGUCCCUGCCGACGACCCUACAAUGACCUCUAGCGACCUGGCUCGGGAUGAUGAGGUGCUGGCUAUGGAGCCCCUGCUAAAGCCACGGCCAAAGCUCCUGAGCCAACGUUUUCAGACAGAUCACUCAAAAGAAACACCUCACAGAGCACCAGAGCUUCAGACUCUCCGAUACCUGACCGUCAUGUUCAUCGAGCUCACACAGCUGGACAACAUCUCACACCUGGUGAGGAGGAGGAGGAGGAUGAGGGCUGGACACUGGAAUGCCUUGAAUGUACCUGUGUGGAUGGUGCUGAAGUGGACGCCGUGUGAACUUCACCAGCAAUGGCUCCAAUCUGACAUUAACGCAGUCCUAUCUAAAAUGGCAGUUGGAGAUAUACCUGAGAGAAAGAUGGAGGUGGAAGACAUGAAGGAAGAGACACUCUGGAAAGAUGGAGGGGGAGGACAGGGCUUCUAUUAAGGAGAAGGAGACCGCUGGAAAUAUGGGGCAGGAGGACAGCGCCUCUGUCCAGGAGGCCUGUAGAAAGAUGGACAACGAGGACAGGGCCUCUGAGCUCAAAGACUAUUUCACUGCUCUUGAGGAGAACCGCAGAAACAUGCAGAAUCUCCUGCAAGAGCAGAAAGAAGAGUAUGAGAUGGAGUUGAGGGCUCUGGAGAGGGAGAGUGUGCAGGAGAGAGAGAUGCGGAAGAGAAAUGAGGCCCUGAAGAGGGAGAGAGAGAUGCGGAAUAGAAAGGAGGCUCUGGAGAGGGAGAGAGAUGCGGGAAAGAGAGGAAGCCCUGCUGUCCACUUUUAUUUCCGUUGUUGUCUGCAAGGACAAGCUCAUGAAAGACCUGAGGAUCCAGAUGGACAGACCGAGUCCAUCUAAGGUGUGCGAGGCACAAUGGGGCCAUUUUCAAACACAUGGGGCCACUGGCACUGCAGUGGUCACACUCCAG
ensembl:lncRNA